rnacentral:rRNA from 1 species
UGCCAGCCGCCGCGGUAAUACCGGCGCCUCAAGUGGUAGUCGAUUUUAUUGGGCCUAAAACGUCCGUCGCCGGUCUGGUGCAUUCGUGGGUAAAUCCACCCGCUCAACGGGUUGAAUUCUGCGAGCACGGCCAGACUAGGGACCGGGAGAGGUGUAGGGUACGCUCGGGGUAGGGGUAAAAUCCUGUCAUCCCGAGCGGACCACCUGUUGCGAAGGCGCUACACUAGAACGGAUCCGACGGUCAGGGACGAAGCCUAGGGGCACGAACCGGAUUAGAUA